UGGGGAAUUGUUCGCAAUGGGCGCAAGCCUGACGACGCAACGCCGCGUGGGGGAUGAAGGUCUUCGGAUUGUAAACCCCUGUUGGGUGGGACGAACACUUUUGUGGUGAAUAUCCACGAAGGCUGACGGUACCACCUGAGGAAGCCCCGGCUAACUCUGUGCCAGCAGCCGCGGUAAUACAGAGGGGGCAAGCGUUGUUCGGAAUUACUGGGCGUAAAGGGCGCGUAGGCGGCCUGUUAAGUCGGACGUGAAAUCCCUCGGCUCAACCGGGGAACUGCGUCCGAUACUGGCGGGCUUGAAUUCGGGAGAGGGAUGUGGAAUUCCAGGUGUAGCGGUGAAAUGCGUAGAUAUCUGGAGGAACACCGGUGGCGAAGGCGGCAUCCUGGACCGACAUUGACGCUGAGGCGCGAAAGCCAGGGGAGCAAACGGGAUUAGAUACCCCGGUAGUCCUGGCCCUAAACGAUGAGUGCUUGGUGUGGCGGGUAUCGAUCCCUGCCGUGCCGAAGCUAACGCAUUAAGCACUCCGCCU
rnacentral:rRNA from 1 species